CUACACUCCAGUCCAUUUAGAGUGCAGGAGGUGGGAUUUGAGGAGACAGAGGAAGACUGAACUCUCUAAGAGUUUCAUAAGAUUGCACAAAAUUUCUAAGCAGCACAGUGGUACAUGUAUUUUCAUUUGGGUAUCUCUUGCCUUCCACAGAAUUGGCUUGAAAGGUAAGUGUUA
rnacentral:lncRNA from 1 species